GACGAACGCUGGCGGCGUGCUUAACACAUGCAAGUCGAGCGGUAAGGCCCUUUCGGGGGUACACGAGCGGCGAACGGGUGAGUAACACGUGGGUGACCUGCCCUUAGCUCUGGGAUAAGCCUGGGAAACUGGGUCUAAUACCGGAUAUGACUCCAUGACGCAUGUUGUGGGGUGGAAAGCCUUGUGCGGCUAGGGAUGGGCCCGCGGCCUAUCAGCUUGUUGGUGGGGUGAUGGCCUACCAAGGCGACGACGGGUAGCCGGCCUGAGAGGGCGACCGGCCACACUGGGACUGAGACACGGCCCAGACUCCUACGGAAGGCAGCAGUGGGGAAUCUUGCGCAAUGGGCGAAAGCCUGACGCAGCGACGCCGCGUGAGGGAUGACGGCCUCGG
rnacentral:rRNA from 1 species